rnacentral:lncRNA from 1 species
CAAAGGAGAAUCUAUUUUAAAUAAUUAUAUGAUGGGGUAGGAUGAUAUUGUUUUGAAUAUUCUUGCAGUUUAGGGUUGUAUACCCAAAGGUAACAACACUAUUCCACAAGAAUGGUAUCAGUCCUCCAUAAGUGAUUUUGAGUGAACACUAGAUAUGUCAAUAUUUCACCCAAAGGUGAAAUAUAGACGAUAUCAAUAGUUCAUCAUAUUUUGGAAACUCAAAGCAUUAAUGUUAUAUUAUUACUGUGGCACUUCCUUU